UACAGAGGGUGCUAGCGUUGUUCGGAAUCAUUGGGCGUAAAGGGCGUGUAGGCGGUUUGUUAAGUCAUGUGUGAAAUCCCUCGGCUCAACCGGGGAACGACGCAUGAAACUGGCAAGCUAGAGUACCAAAGAGGGGGGUGGAAUUCCCGGUGUAGCGGUGAAAUGCGUAGAUAUCUGGAGGAACACCGGUGGCGAAGGCGGCAUCCUGGACCAAUAUUGACGCUGAGGAGCGAAAGCCAGGGGAGCGAACAGG
rnacentral:rRNA from 1 species